AACGUAGGAGACGAACGUUAUCCGGAGUUACUGGGCGUAAAGGGCGCGUAGGCGGCCACCGCAAGUCGACUGUGAAAUCUCCGGGCUUAACUCGGAAAGGUCAGCCGAUACUGCGGGGCUAGAGUGCAGAAGGGGCAACUGGAAUUCUCGGUGUAGCGGUGAAAUGCGUAGAUAUCGAGAGGAACACCUGCGGCGAAGACGGGUUGCUGGGCUGACACUGACGCUGAUUGUGCGAAAGCUAGGGGAGCGAACGGG
rnacentral:rRNA from 1 species